rnacentral:lncRNA from 1 species
ACAAUAGUUAUAUUGUUGAUUUACUGGCAAGAUUAUACAGAAGGUAAAAGUUACAGCUAAUUUACUACUGCAUUGGUUAGCUUGCAUGCUAAGUUUGUAUAUUGCACAAUUAUAUUUUUGAUUUACUGGCAAGUUUAUAUAGAAGGUAAAAGUUAAUUAGAGGAACACAUUAUAUUUUAGAAAGGACAGAUUUGUCUUCGACAUAUACAUGUAUUAUGACAAGUUAGCCAGACUGAUGUUUUUAUCUUGUCAAUUUUAUUUUGAGGAAGUUUUGCAUAUCUGUUGCACAUGUUUCAGAAGACAAUAAUACCAUUAUAUAAAUGAAAGGAUAUAUGGAGUUAAAUUUACCGUCAGUGUAUUGAAGACGAAUUCCAUUUCAUAUUAGUGUGUCAAAAAUAUAAGGAACUUGGAGUAAAAUUCAUAUAAAAGAAAUAUUACUGGUCUAGACCAAGUGUGUUUAAAUUUGUUGAACUUUUAAGUUUAAAGAACAUCAAACAGUUAACCAAUUAGGAAAAUACAUUUUUACUGCUUUUAAAAUCAGAGACAAUAUUACAUGAACAUUCUCUGUCUGUUUACUUGUUUACUAACUAUAAAAAUUUCUAUUGACAACGAUGAACUGGAAAGUUUAAGGUAAUAAAGAAUUAGGUUAACUGCUGUGAGAUAGAAAUACUAAAGAAUAUAUAUUUUUUUAAAAAGACGCAAUGAUGUGCAUAACUUUGUAAAGGACAAAAAAUCUCUUUCUCUUUGCAUUUAUCCAUUUCUAGUUGACUUUGCAUAAUUUAUUUCAGCUAUUUUUAUGCCCCAUUUAUGGGCAUUAUGUUUUCUGGUCUGUGCGUCCGUUUCGUCCGCUGUCCGCUUCAGGUAAAGUUUUUGGCGAGGUAGUUUUGAUGAGUUGAAGUCCAAUCAACUUGAAAACUUAGUAUACGGUCCCUAUGAAUGAUGCCAAAUCCCAAUUCACUGAACAUCAAUUUCAGGUUAAAGUUUUUGGCUUAAAUUUUGUCAGGUAGUUUUUGAAUCAAUCAAAAACUUUAUACAUGUGCCCUAUGAUAUGACUGCCAAAUCCCCCAAUUACGUUACUGACAUAGAAUGAUAGUGCAAUUCAGGUAAAGUUUUUGGCUUCAGGUUUAAGUUUUUGGUCAAGGUUUUUUGAAGUUGAAGUCCAAUCAACUUGAAACUUAGUAUACAUGUCCCUAUAUAUUUUUCUAAUUUAAAUGCAAUUAGAGUUUUGACCCCAAUUUUACGGUUCACUGAACAUAGAAAAUGAUAGUGCAAAUUUCAGGUUAAAGUUUGGCUUCAGGUUAAAGUUUUGGUCAAGUAGUUUUGAUGAAGUUGAAGUCCAAUCAACUUGAACUUAGUACAUGUGCCCUAUGAUAUGAUCUUUCUAAUUUAAAUGCCAAAUUAGAGUUUUGACCCCAAUUUUACGGUUCACUGAACAUAGAAAAUGAUAGUGCAAAUUUCAGGUUAAAGUUUUUGGCUUCAGGUUAAAGUUUUUGGUAGGUAGUUUAUGAAGUUGAAGUCCAAUCAACUUGAAAUUAGUAUACAUGGCCCUAUGAUAUGAUCUUUCUAUUUAAUGCCAAAUUAGAUUUUUACCCUAUUUCACGGUCCAUGGAACAUGGAAAAUGAUUGAGUGGGGCAUCCGUGUACUUUGGACACAUUCUUGUUUAGUCUGCUCUAUCUCGUUUCUUUAUAGAGGACCCAUAUUUUUUAUAUUGGCUAUGAUUUUUAUUCACAAUUUUCCAACUACUGCAAGUUGCAAAAAAUGAAUCCCGUGAACACAAAAAUUAGUUCUGGUAUAGUACAUAUCUUAUCAUGUUUUAUUUUGAUUACAGGUUUUAUGAAAAGGGAACCAGAAGAAUGUAUUUUUAGAACAUUACAAGACCAGGGAAAGUUAUAUUACUCAGGUGACAUGUUUGAUAGCUGGAUAUAUUUCAGUCCAAUUGAUUUGAAGGAUAGAGAAUGGUAUGAACAGGUAUUUAUAAUUCUAACAUUGAUUGUUUGAAGGAGACUGGAUAAAAUUGAGAAUGGAAAUGGGGGAUGUGCCAAAGAGACAACAACCCAACCAUAGAGCAGACAACAGCAGAAGGUCACCAACAGGUCUUCAAUGCAACGAGAAAUUCUCGCACCCGGAGGCGUCCUUCAGCUGGCCCCUAAUCAAAUAUAUACUGGUUCAGUGAUAAUGAACACCAUUCUAAACUCCAAAUUGUACACAAGAAACUAAAAGUUAAAAUAAUGCAAGACUAACAAAGGCCAGAGG